CUACGGGCCGCAGCAGUGAGGAAUAUUGCACAAUGGGGGGAACCCUGAUGCAGCAACGCCGCGUGGAGGAUGACGCAUUUCGGUGUGUAAACUCCUUUUAUAUGUCAAGAAAAUGACGGUAGCAUAUGAAUAAGCACCGGCUAACUCCGUGCCAGCAGCCGCGGUAAUACGGAGGGUGCAAGCGUUACUCGGAAUCACUGGGCGUAAAGGAAGCGUAGGCGGGUUGGAAAGUCAGGUGUGAAAUCCUACAGCUUAACUGUAGAACUGCACUUGAAACUUCUAAUCUAGAGUAUGGGAGGGGGAGAUGGAAUUAGUGGUGUAGGGGUAAAAUCCGUAGAUAUCACUAGGAAUACCUAAAGCGAAGGCGAUCUCCUGGAACAUUACUGACGCUAAGGCGUGAAAGCGUGGAGAGCAAACAGGAUUAGAUACCCGAGUAGUC
rnacentral:rRNA from 1 species